UACGUAGGUGACAAGCGUUGUCCGGAUUUACUGGGCGUAAAGAGCGCGCAGGCGGUCGAUCAAGUCGAGUGUGAAAGCCCCCGGCUCAACUGGGGAGGGUCAUUCGAUACUGAUCGACUGGAAGGCAGGAGAGGGAAGCGGAAUUCCCGGUGUAGUGGUGAAAUACGUAGAUAUCGGGAGGAACACCAGUGGCGAAGGCGGCUUCCUGGCCUGUUCUUGACGCUGAGGCGCGAAAGCUAGGGGAGCAAACGGG
rnacentral:rRNA from 1 species